CUACGGAGGGUGCAAGCGUUGUUCGGAAUUAUUGGGCGUAAAGCGGAUGUAGGCGGUUUGUUAAGUCGGAUGUGAAAUCCCUGGGCUCAACCCAGGAACUGCAUUCGAUACUGGCAAACUAGAGUCUCGGAGGGGGUGGCGGAAUUCCCGGUGUAGAGGUGAAAUUCGUAGAUAUCGGGAGGAACACCAGUGGCGAAGGCGGCCACCUGGACGAUGACUGCCGCUCAGAUCCGAAAGCGUGGCGCGCAAACAGGAGUAGAAACCCUAGUAGUCC
rnacentral:rRNA from 1 species